UGGUGGAGUGAUUUGUCUGGUUAAUUCCGUUAACGAACGAGACCGCUGCCUGCUAAAUAGUUUGCCUAGUGAAUUUCACUUGGUAGAUCUUCUUAGAGGGACGUGCGUUCUAUUAGACGCAGGAAGAUAGCGGCAAUAACA
rnacentral:rRNA from 1 species